AUUGAACGCUGGCGGCAUGCUUUACACAUGCAAGUCGAACGGCAGCACGGGGGCAACCCUGGUGGCGAGUGGCGAACGGGUGAGUAAUGCAUCGGAACGUAUCCUUAAGUGGGGGAUAACGCAUCGAAAGAUGCGCUAAUACCGCAUAAUCUCUGAGGAGAAAAGCAGGGGAUCGCAAGACCUUGCGCUUUUGGAGCGGCCGAUGUCUGAUUAGCUAGUUGGUGAGGUAAAGGCUUACCAAGGCUUCGAUCAGUGGCUGGUCUGAGAGGACGACCAGCCACACUGGGACUGAGACACGGCCCAGACUCCUACGGGAGGCAGCAGUGGGGAAUUUUGGACAAUGGGGCAACCCUGAUCCAGCCAUGCCGCGUG
rnacentral:rRNA from 1 species